GACGAACGCUGGCGGCGUGCCUAAUACAUGCAAGUAGAACGCUGAAGCUUGGUGCUUGCACCGAGCGGAUGAGUUGCGAACGGGUGAGUAACGCGUAGGUAACCUGCCUGGUAGCGGGGGAUAACUAUUGGAAACGAUAGCUAAUACCGCAUAAGAGUAGAUGUUGCAUGACAUUUGCUUAAAAGGUGCAAUUGCAUCACUACCAGAUGGACCUGCGUUGUAUUAGCUAGUUGGUGAGGUAACGGCUCACCAAGGCAACGAUACAUAGCCGACCUGAGAGGGUGAUCGGCCACACUGGGACUGAGGCACGGCCCAGACUCCUACGGGAGGCAGCAGUAGGGAAUCUUCGGCAAUGGACGGAAGUCUGACCGAGCAACGCCGCGUGAGUGAAGAAGGUUUUCGGAUCGUAAAGCUCUGUUGUAAGAGAAGAACGAGUGUGAGAGUGGAAAGUUCACACUGUGACGGUAUCUUACCAGAAGGGACGGCUAACUACGUG
rnacentral:rRNA from 1 species